CAAAAUAUAGCUUAAAUAAAGCAUUUUGUUUACACCAAAAAAAUAUUUGCCAAACAAAUUAUUUUGA
rnacentral:tRNA from 1 species